GUCUCUGCAGUGUAGUGGUUAUCACGUUCGACUCACACGCGAAAGGUCCCUGGUUCAAAACCGGCCAGAGACA